rnacentral:rRNA from 1 species
CACGUAGGGCGCGAGCGUUGUCCGGAAUUAUUGGGCGUAAAGAGCUCGUAGGCGGCCUGUUGCGUCCGCUGUGAAAGCCCGGGGCUUAACCCCGGGUCGGCAGUGGAUACGGGCAGGCUAGAGGUAGGUAGGGGAGAAUGGAAUUCCCGGUGUAGCGGUGAAAUGCGCAGAUAUCGGGAGGAACACCGGUGGCGAAGGCGGUUCUCUGGGCCGAUAUUGACGCUGAGGAGCGAAAGCGUGGGGAGCGAACAGG